GACGAACGCUGGCGGCGUGCUUAACACAUGCAAGUCGAACGGAAAGGCCCUGCUUUUGUGGGGUGCUCGAGUGGCGAACGGGUGAGUAACACGUGAGUAACCUGCCCUUGACUUUGGGAUAACUUCAGGAAACUGGGGCUAAUACCGGAUAGGAGCUCCUGCUGCAUGGUGGGGGUUGGAAAGUUUCGGCUGUUGGGGAUGGACUCGCGGCUUAUCAGCUUGUUGGUGGGGUAGUGGCUUACCCAGGCUUUGCCGGGUAGCCGGCCUGAGAGGGUGACCGGCCACAUUGGGACUGAGAGACGGCCCAGACUGCUACGGGAGGCAGCAGUGGGGAAUAUUGCACAAUGGGCGGAAGCCGGAUGCAGCAACGCCGCGUGCGGGAUGACGGCCUUCUGGUUGUAAACCGCUUUCGCCUGUGACGAAGCGUGAGUGACGGUAAUGGGUAAAGAAGCACCGGCUAACUACGUG
rnacentral:rRNA from 1 species